rnacentral:rRNA from 1 species
GAUGAACGCUGGCGGCGUGCUUAACACAUGCAAGUCGAACGGGAAUUACUUUAUUGAAACUUCGGUCGAUUUAAUUUAAUUCUAGUGGCGGACGGGUGAGUAACGCGUGGGUAACCUGCCUUAUACAGGGGGAUAGCAGUCAGAAAUGGCUGCUAAUACCGCAUAAGCGCACAGAGCUGCAUGGCUCAGUGUGAAAAACUCCGGUGGUAUAAGAUGGACCCGCGUUGGAUUAGCUUGUUGGUGGGGUAACGGCCCACCAAGGCGACGAUCCAUAGCCGGCCUGAGAGGGUGAACGGCCACAUUGGGACUGAGACACGGCCCAGACUCCUACGGGAGGCAGCAGUGGGGAAUAUUGCACAAUGGGGGAAACCCUGAUGCAGCGACGCCGCGUGAAGGAAGAAGUAUCUCGGUAUGUAAACUUCUAUCAGCAGGGAAGAUAGUGACGGU